rnacentral:rRNA from 1 species
UACGUAGGGGGCAAGCGUUGUCCGGAAUCAUUGGGCGUAAAGCGCGUGUAGGCGGUUUGGUAAGUCCGCUCUGAAAGUCCGGGGCUCAACCCCGGAAGGCGGGUGGAUACUGUCAGACUAGAGUGCGGAAGAGGCGAGUGGAAUUCCCGGUGUAGCGGUGAAAUGCGCAGAUAUCGGGAGGAACACCAAUUGCGAAGGCAGCUCGCUGGGACGUGACUGACGCUGAGACGCGAAAGCGUGGGGAGCAAACAGG